AUGGCUGCAGGCGGCGAUCCCAGAACCCGGCGCCGGCCGAGUCCGGCUUUUCGGCGAAGCCCGCCUGCACUCUACGCCGCGCUGCUCUCACCGCCCCAGCGCUCUGUGGAGCUGGAGGUUCGCAGGGCGGGGGCGGGGCGUGACGGACAACGCGAUUGUCCAAUGAGAGGUUGCCUUUGGCAGAGGGGGCGGGAAGGGGCGGGGCCUCUCUCCCGCUGUAAGGGUCAGGCCGGGGACCGCAGCCUGAUCCUCCCUCCCUUGCUCUCUCCAGAGCCGCCCCGCCCCGCUAGGCUUCCAAGCGUUUGGCGUCCUCCCACCCGGAUCCAUUGCACACUGCGGGCCAGGCGUCGUUGGGAGCCCCGUGGCUCCUGCCCAGCCAACCUGCUCUCCUCUCUCAGGGAACCAUGGCCAGUAGGAUGUUGGGCCACAGUUAGGACUCCCAUGUACCAACUGAAAAGGUAUCUACACGUGUCACUGGAUAAUAAGUUCUGAGUGAGGGUGAGUGGAUGCAACAGGUUUAGAUGCUUCUGCCCAAGAACCAGGAUUUGCUAAUCUGAUCAAUCUCUUUCCACCACCAAGCUGGUAGCAAAGUGAUGCAGCACUGCUCAGAUGUGAAUACAGUCCAGACAAGGAUAGGCCAACUGACCCAAGGGCUUGACCUGGACCAUUGUCUGAUUUUAUAAGUAGGCUUUAUGGAAACAUAUCUAAGGCCAUUUCUUUUAUAGAGUAUCUGGCUGCAUUUGGAUCAUAACAAUAGCUACAAGAGCAUUUGAAAAUUCUCAGAGUCAGGUCAAGACAAGAGAGAGCCAGCUCACCCACUGCUGCUCAUUGUUCUUGUUAUCUGUUACUGUUUCCAAGAGGCCAUUCAUCUAUCCCAGCAGUGACUCAUGCUUCCACAAAUGUUUAUUAGAUACCCCCUCUCUCUGUGUGUAUGUGGGCAAACAAGGGAGCUUCUAACCCUUCUACACCCUCAUAUUGUGCUUGACAUAUGAGAUUGCUUCUGGACUUUAUGUGAAUGGACUUUUACUUUCAUGAAAGGAAUGGAAAGUGGAAGAGGGAGGAGCAUGGAUAGAGGAAGAGAGAGAGACAGACAGGCACACACACACACACACACACACACACACACACACACACACACGAGAGAGAGAGAGAGAGAGAGAGAGAGAGAGAGAGAGAGAGGGAGAGAGAGAGAGAGAGAGAGAGAGAGGGAGAGAGAGAGAGAAUCUGGACUAUAUAUAUGUUUCUCCAAAAUUCUGGGUAUUUCUAAAAAACAUCUUCUUCCUUGUUGUUCCCAAUCUUUGAAUUAACCAUUCUCUAAUUUCUAUUUUCAUGCUAAAGUUGUCGUCUUCUUCAUGGGGCUCCCUUCCAUAUUUACUCAGAUUUUGUAACAUCCUCAGACUGAGAGUGCAAGGUGGAGAAAGGAGAAGAAAGACAUGGAAUGUGUACUGAGAGCCUCCUAUGAGACAGAUGUUGCACAGGGCCUCCUACUCAC
rnacentral:lncRNA from 1 species